rnacentral:rRNA from 1 species
GACAGAGGAUGCAAGCGUUGUUCGGAAUUAUUGGGCGGAAAGGGCGCGUAGGCGGCUGUACAAGUCAAAGGUGAAAUCCCUCGGCUCAACUGAGGAACUGCCUUUGAAACUGUACGGCUUGAGGCCGGGAGGGGGUGGCGGAAUUCCCAAUGUAGCGGUGAAAUGCGUAGAUAUUGGGAGGAACACCAGUGGCGAAGGCGGCUACCUGGACCGGUUCUGACGCUGAGGCGCGAAAGCGUGGGUAGCAAACAGG